UAGCUGGGUACAGAAGUAGUGUGUGA
rnacentral:piRNA from 1 species